UAUUGGUACGCAUACGUAACAUUAAGGAAUAUUCAUAAUGUCCUUUAGUUUUGUUAAAUGUGUUUAAAUGUAAAUAAUAGCAUCUUCUUACAUAAACAGGCAUCCUUAUGUUAUUAAUUUUUUUACAAAAACAAAUAAGAGUUCAAAAUAAAAAUUUUAAUUUAUGAAAAGAGAAGAAGUAGGAAAAGUAUUUUUAAUUCAACAUUUACAGAGUGAAUCAGGAGAAGAAGUGUUGGUAAUUUAUUUUAAAACAGAUAGUAUCACGAGAAGAAGUUGUAAGAGUAAUAAAAUUCUUUUAUUCAACAUUACGAAUUGAAUUACGAGAAGAAGUGGUUGUAAUUAAUUUAAAACAUAUUGCAUCACGAGAAGAAUAGGAAAAAUAUUGCUAUACUUAAGUAUCAAGAUUAAAAUACUGAUGCACCGUUAAACUUAAGGUGGUAAUAAAGUUUACAAAGUUUGCUCUGGCUGAAUUUUUCAAUGAAAAAACAAUAUGUGUGCUAUGAAUGUAAUCUGCUUUUCAUGGUGUAUCAAUGAAAGUUUGGUGUAUUGGCCAAAUCACUUGCAAGCAUCUUGCCUUUAAACUGCCAUACGUAAAGUCACGCUUUUAAAAGUAACUGAAAGCAGCUGAAAAUAAGAAUUUUUUGAUGAACUUUCUUACUUUGGUUGGAGGAGAUGAGAAACAACUUACAGCGGCAAUCUUAAUACAGCUAAUGGCCAAAGAAGUAUGUUUUUCAUACUCAGUGUAUGGAAUGAAACAAAAACGUCCUGCAAGGUCGUUAUAGGUAAAGCACAAUAUUUGUAUUCUACAUCCCAUUUCCUUUUAAUAAAUUAAUAUUUUAAUAAAAACUUAUUACUUUAC
rnacentral:lncRNA from 1 species